AUUAUUAAAAAAAAUUAAAAAAAUAAAUAGUCAAAAGAUUGGACCGCAACUUCACUCAACUUAUUGGGCUCAUUUAACUUAACUUAUUAGUUUCCGAGUAAAGCUACUAUGCUAUCAGAAGCAUAGAGGAUCUGGUGCUUCCGAUUUUUUGACCCUUAGAUCAAUCCCUUUAAUUAUUUCUAGUCUUUGGAUUAAUACUAUUAACCUGUGGGGAUCACUAAACCCUAGGCGUACUACUCAACCUUGGAGGGACCGCAAUCGUCCUAAUCGUAUAAUUUUUUAUCUAAUGGUCAAAAAGUUGAAAGCAUCAGAUUUUCUAUACUUUCGAUGGUAUAGUAGCUGUACACUUAGUUUUCUAGACUUAUUAUCUUGGAAUAAAAUGUUUAUUUUCGCUAAUAAUAAAUAGUCAAUAAAAAAAAUCUGAGGCUCAAAAGUGCAAUUCAACCUAAAUAUUAAACAAAUUGUUAGAUCAGAUUAGCCAAACUAGCUAUAGAGUCUAACACUACUAGCUAUACCGUUUGGGAAUGUUUUUGCCCCUACUACUUAUGAGAUUCUAGAUAGUUCUAGAUAUAAAAUAUAAUAAAGCUAAACCUCUAAUCCGACUAUAAUAUUUUGAGCAAUAGUUAGGUCCAAAAUAUUAAAAGAGUUAAACGUGUUAGGACUAGAGUAGUUCUAGAAUGGACGUCACUUGAAAAGUGGGGCAUCACAGUUGGUAUCAGAGCUAAUUAGCAGUCGAAAGUAUGAGAUCAGUCUCGGCUGAGUCAUGUUAUACAGCAAGGACAGCGAAACUCUUAUACUGAUGACUGUUAUGGGCAAAGCGCAGCUCUCUUACAAGAUCAGUUAAGACUAACGAGAUGAGUCUCACAUCGUCAAAUACUUCUGAGUCUGAGCCUAACAAGUAUGUUAGGGUUUAAAGGGGAAAGAAUAUGAAACUUCAGAUAGUCCUAUAUGUAAGAUAUAAUAUGGCCAAACCUUUAAAUUCGGUUAUAGCAUUUUAAGCAGUGGUUAGACCCAAGAAAUUAAGAGAGUUAAUCGUGAUAGCACUACAGUAGUUUUAGGAUAGUUGACCCCCUGGGAAGU
rnacentral:lncRNA from 1 species